AAUAGAUACCCCGGUAGUCCUAGCAGUAAACGGUGCGCGUUUGGUGUAGGAGGAUUCGACCCCUUCUGUGCCGGAGCUAACGCGCUAAACGCGCCGCCUGGGGAGUACGGUCGCAAGAUUAAAACUCAAAGAAAUUGACGGGGGCCCGCACAAGCGGUGGAGUAUGUGGCUUAAUUCGAUGCAACGCGAAGAACCUUACCUGGGCUUGACAUGCAUCUCUCAGUCGGUGAAAGCCGGCGAGUCCCGCAAGGGACAAUUUGCACAGGUGCUGCAUGGCUGUCGUCAGCUCGUGUCGUGAGAUGUUGGGUUAAGUCCCGCAACGAGCGCAACCCUCGCCUUUAGUUGCCAUCAGGUUGGGCUGGGCACUCUAAAGGGGCUGCCGGUGACAAACCGGAGGAAGGUGGGGAUGACGUCAAGUCAGCAUGCCCCUUAGUCCUGGGCGACACACGUACUACAAUGCUACAGACAAAGGGCAGCAAGCCAGCGAUGGCAAGCCAAUCCCAUAAACCGUGGCUCAGUUCAGAC
rnacentral:rRNA from 1 species